AUGUUAUCAAGAAAGGUGGAGGGAUUAGACCCUUUGAAACCUUAGCAACCCUUAGAUUUACUGAGAAGGUGCUAAAUUCUACAUAGUUUUUUAUUCAUUUAUUUAAAACUAGAUAGAUAACUA
rnacentral:ncRNA from 2 species